AAAAAUUGCAAACUGAACUGCACUUCUGUUGGCACUGAUGCUAUUGAACAAGUACUUGCACUUCCAUUUUCUCAUAAACUGAAUUGCAAACUCUCCCAGGGCACACAAUAAAAAGGUCAUGAGCACCACGUUACCUUUAUUUUCUUACUCUACACGCAGCAUUUGACAGAACACAGAACUAUGCUUCAGAACUACUUUACUGAGGACGGAAGCAAUUUUUUUGUCAUUGAUCUCAUGGCCAAACAUGGAACUAGAAGGUAAGCAACUGAGACAUCCGCGGGAAGAGCUUUCAAGCAUCAAGCAGUCUGCUACAUUUCACUGAAACCAUAGACCAAAUCAGUUUUGACUGAAAAGGAAUCAAUUUCUAACUCCCUCACACCUAGCUUGAAGAAACAAACCUGGGCAAAGGAACGGCUGGAAAAGUGGAGAUAUGGGAUACCCCACUCGCAACCUCCCAAGAAGCAGCCAGCCGUAUCCCCACGUUGAGUACCUCAUCAUGCCUGCCGGAGCAGCCCAUCUGGCACACAGCAGAGGGGCGGGGCAGGGAUUGAGGAAUCUCUGGCCUCACCAAACUAAUCACCAAAUUCAUGGGCAAAAAGGCAGCACCUAAUUCUACAAUAAUCAAUCACAUGUGAUGCUAUAGCCACAAGAUCCAUUGUAGAUAGACAUGGGCUUGGGUCACGUAUUUCUCACCUGCAGAGUGGACCAUCGAUCGCGUGCAAGUGCAUCACCCAGAUGUCAAGGCACUCGUCGGAGCAGAGCAUGGCGAUGACAACGUCGGAGCAGAGGACAUCGAGGACGAGGUGCUGCUGCUGCUCCGCUGUGGAGAGUUGGGCUUUUCUCCCUGCGACGCCGUCGUCCACUCGUCGAGCUCCAGCCACCGACGCGCUUGGAGUGAACGGCGCAGCCCCUCCUCGGCCGGAUCCCGACCACCUCCGG
rnacentral:lncRNA from 1 species